UACGUAGGGGGCAAGCGUUGUCCGGAUUUAUUGGGCGUAAAGAGCGUGUAGGCGGCCAGACAGGUCCGUUGUGAAAACUCGAGGCUCAACCUCGAGAUGUCGGCGGAAACCACUUGGCUAGAGUCCGGAAGAGGAGAGUGGAAUUCCCGGUGUAGCGGUGAAAUGCGCAGAUAUCGGGAAGAACACCUAUGGCGAAGGCAGCUCUCUGGGACGGUACUGACGCUGAGACGCGAAAGCGUGGGGAGCGAACAGG
rnacentral:rRNA from 1 species